rnacentral:rRNA from 1 species
GUGUCAGCAGCCGCGGUAAUACGGAGGGUGCAAACGUUGCUCGGAAUCAUUGGGCGUAAAGCGCACGUAGGCGGCCUGUUAAGUCGGGUGUGAAAUCCCUCGGCUCAACCGAGGAAGUGCAUUCGAAACUGGCAGGCUUGAAUGUGGAAGAGGGUCGUGGAAUUCCCGGUGUAGAGGUGAAAUUCGUAGAUAUCGGGAGGAACACCAGUGGCGAAGGCGGCGACCUGGGCCAACAUUGACGCUGAGGUGCGAAAGCGUGGGGAGCAAACAGGAUUAGAAACCCUGGUAGUCC